rnacentral:lncRNA from 1 species
AUGGCUUGGCUCAGAGCCGAGGUGACCGACUUAAAGAAUAUCUUGUGAAACUCCUUAUAAAUAGGGCUUGAAUUUGUGUAAAAAAUCGUAUGACCUUUUCUCAGGUACAAAAGAAGAUCUGUCAAAUACAUAAAAGAUUACUCUUGUUCGUGUCGUUAUUCCAACAUAAGCAUCAUACCAUCAAGGAACCAAAUCUCCUCUUCAUGAUGAGCCAUGUAGAGAAGGUGGACAAGAUGAAGCAAUCGAGAGAGACAAAAAUGGAACUAGAAGGGGAUUGGGAGGAAGACAAAAGGAGAGAGGUAACAUGA